rnacentral:rRNA from 1 species
UACAGAGGGUGCGAGCGUUGUCCGGAAUCACUGGGUUUAAAGGGUGCGUAGGCGGCUAUAUAAGUCAGUGGUGAAAGCCCGCAGCUCAACUGCGGAACUGCCAUUGAAACUGCAUAGCUUGAAUCUGGUUGAAGUGGGCGGAAUACAUCAUGUAGCGGUGAAAUGCUUAGAUAUGAUGUAGAACACCGAUUGCGAAGGCAGCUCACUAAGCCAACAUUGACGCUGAGGCACGAAAGCGUGGGUAGCGAACAGG